AAAACACUGAGAGAAAGGUAUGUGUCGCAGAUGUCUCCUGUGAAGAAGUCCAUAACGUCAAAUAAUUAAAGCAUCCCAGGGUUAUUGCUCUAGUUAUUGUUAUAAAACAACUUGUCAGAGUGCAUUGGAGAGUAUUCCUGUCCUGUCUCUUCAUAAUAGUAUUGCAGGUCUACAUAAAAGCCCCAAAAGACAGCCGUGGUGUCGCUCUUCAUUUCUUGGAUCUUCUGUGGUACACAUAAAGACCGCUAGAGACGUACAGUUGCUCUCAGAGGGAUGGUGGUUUAUGAAGACACAAUCCUGGAGCUCCAUUAGUUAGAGUCCCCUCCACUGAGACAUCAAAACGUCCCCACAAUUCACAAGGAGGGGUGUGUCACUUGAGUGGGUUGAGUCACAGACGUGAUCUUCC